rnacentral:rRNA from 1 species
CACGUAGGGGGCAAGCGUUGUCCGGAUUUAUUGGGCGUAAAGAGCUCGUAGGCGGCUCAGUAAGUCGGGUGUGAAACCUCCAGGCUCAACCUGGAGACGCCACCUGAUACUGCUGUGGCUAGAGUCCGGUAGGGGAGCGUGGAAUUCCUGGUGUAGCGGUGAAAUGCGCAGAUAUCAGGAGGAACACCAGCGGCGAAGGCGACUUACUGGACACAUAUUGACGCUGAGGUGCGAAAGCGUGGGGAGCGAACAGG